UACGUAGGGGGCGAGCGUUGUCCGGAUUCAUUGGGCGUAAAGAGCUCGUAGGCGGCUUGGCAAGUCGGGUGUGAAAACUUCAGGCUCAACCUGGAGCGGCCACUCGAUACUGCCAUGGCUUGAGUCCGGUAGGGGACCACGGAAUUCCUGGUGUAGCGGUGAAAUGCGCAGAUAUCAGGAGGAACACCGGUGGCGAAGGCGGCUACCUGGACAAUUGCUGACGCUCAGGCACGAAAGCGUGGGGAGCAAAAGGG
rnacentral:rRNA from 1 species